rnacentral:rRNA from 1 species
GAUGAACGCUGGCGGCGUGCCUAAUACAUGCAAGUAGAACGCUGAAGCUCGGUGCUUGCACCGAGCGGAUGAGUUGCGAACGGGUGAGUAACGCGUAGGUAACCUGCCUCUUAGCGGGGGAUAACUAUUGGAAACGAUAGCUAAUACCGCAUAAAAGUCGAUAUCGCAUGAUGUUGAUUUGAAAGGUGCAAUUGCAUCACUAAGAGAUGGACCUGCGUUGUAUUAGCUAGUUGGUGAGGUAACGGCUCACCAAGGCGACGAUACAUAGCCGACCUGAGAGGGUGAUCGGCCACACUGGGACUGAGACACGGCCCAGACUCCUACGGGAGGCAGCAGUAGGGAAUCUUCGGCAAUGGGGGCAACCCUGACCGAGCAACGCCGCGUGAGUGAAGAAGGUUUUCGGAUCGUAAAGCUCUGUUGUAAGAGAAGAACGAGUGUGAGAGUGGAAAGUUCACACUGUGACGGUAACUACCAG